AUAACUCUCAUCCCUAGCUUCCUUGAGGUGACCAAACUGCAAGCCUUUCGGGCAUCCUGUCUUCAUAAUCUCAUUCCCAUAUUGUUCUGUACUUUCCGUCCUGGCUCAUCCUCCCACAGCUUUCCUCCCACCCCUUUUCACUCUGCGUUCUGGAACCCCUGUUCGUCUUCACAUAAUGUUCCUUCCCUCCUGGCCUUAACUGAAACCUGGCACUAUCCCAAGGACAACGUUUCUCUGGCAGUUUUUCAAGUGGGGGCUGCUUAUUCUCCCACAUCCUCCUCCUUCCCCAUCCUUUGUCUCAAUGUUGGAAGGGGGAAGUUAUUGUUCACUCAGCUUUUAAAUGCUGUCCCCAAAGCAUUAGUUUUCCACCUUCAAACAAAAUCUCUCCUUCUUUGAGGUCUCAGCAGUCUUGCUUUUUCCACUCAAUUCCUUUUCACUAUCUGUCAACUUUUAGUUUGGUCCUUCACACAUAACUUUGUCACAUGUUUCAUAGUCUAUUUUAACUCGUGCCAUGGAUGACCCAGUUAAUACUUCAGCCUCAGUGGAUCUUCAGGGACCCUGCUUUCCACUUUUACUCAGCACCUUACAUCAUUGAUCAUACCAGUUUUGUCAUAACAGGCAAAUCGUAA
rnacentral:lncRNA from 10 species